UCGGGAAGGGAGUAUCUGGCCUAUUCUUAGUUAUUUGGAAGUCACUUUGCUUACCACUGAAUUGCAUCUGCAUCUUGGAUGGAGAAUAGCAGCUGUUUAACUGUGCACAGCCACAUUGCACCGCCGUGGAGGACAGACUGUUAAGGAAAGUGCUAUAUCUAAUUGAAGCUGCAGGGGAAUUGACUGCUGUGAGGCUUAAUUAGCCAAAGUGCUUGGAAGUCCUCAGCUAGAAGGUGCUAUAGAAGAACAAGUAAAUCAGACAAAAAAGAUUGUGAAUGCUGAGUCACUGAACACCCGCCUGAGAACACCAGGAUGACUAACAGCGGGCACCUCAAGCAGCACAAGCUGAGAAGAGAGCAGGCACACGCACACCCAGCCAGGGGGCACUCAUAGAACUUCCUUCUUCUACACCCCCAUGCACAUGCAGUAAAUUCUAAGGGCAUAAUUCUGCCCUCUAU